GGGGAACAAGUGUAGACGAUGCCACAAGAAGGAUGAUGAAAUUCCUCAUAUGACCUGAGCUGGCUGUGGAGUACAACAUGCUUGGCCGACAUGGGAAAAAAAAGUUCAGAGAUUUACGUCUUUUUAAUGUUGUGUAUGAGGCACUGAAGAAGAAUUAUUUAACAUCAAAAGUCAACUUGCAAGAAGCAGAGAAGGCUCUCUCCAAGUGGUUCACUGGAGCUAAAGACAGAGGAGGACCGAGGGCUGCAAGGGUACAAAAUAGACUUACGGCUCUGUAAAAAAA